AGGCAGGAACCUAUAAACUCAAAUUCAAUCUAUAAAUAUUUUUCCAAUAUUGGAAACUUGAAGGCACAUUUUGAAUAUUAAACCUUAAACUGCUAUCACUAAACCUAAACCUUAACCGCACACCUUCCAAAUACUAAACUUUAAACUCUAAUCACUAAACCCUAAACCCAAGUAUAGACCCUAAACCCACAUAGAAUGGAAUAAAAUAAAUAGUAUAGUACAUAUUGGUGAACAAAAUAGAACACUCUUUAUUAAUUGUCAACAUGUUCACUAAACCCAAAUCCCAACCCCGCUCUUCUAAAUACUAAACCCUAAAUCCUAAUCACUAAACCCUAAACCCAAGUAUAAACCCUAAACCCAAAUAUAAACCAUAAACCCUAAACUCUAAACUCAAAUCUCAAAAUCUAAUACUGGCCUCAAACUCACCCCUAUUACUCUAAAUAC
rnacentral:lncRNA from 1 species